rnacentral:rRNA from 1 species
AUUGAACGCUGGCGGCAUGCCUUACACAUGCAAGUCGAACGGCAGCACGGACUUCGGUCUGGUGGCGAGUGGCGAACGGGUGAGUAAUACAUCGGAACGUACCCAGUAAUGGGGGAUAACUAUCCGAAAGGAUAGCUAAUACCGCAUACGCCCUACGGGGGAAAGAGGGGGAUCGCAAGACCUCUUGUUAUUGGAGCGGCCGAUGGCUGAUUAGCUAGUUGGUGAGGUAAAGGCUCACCAAGGCGACGAUCAGUAGCGGGUCUUAGAGGACGAUCCGCCACACUGGAACUGAGACACGGUCCAGACUCCUACGGGAGGCAGCAGUGGGGAAUCUUGGACAAUGGGCGCAAGCCUGAUCCAGCAAUGCCGCGUGCGUGAAGAAGGCCUUCGGGUUGUAAAGCGCUUUUGUCAGGGAGCAAAAGGUGGUGGCUAAUAUCCAUCGCUCUUGAGAGUACCUGAAGAAUAAGGACCGGCUAACUACGUGCCAGCCGCCGCGGUAAGAC